CAUAUCUAGUCUUCUACAUAUAUCUAUGGUCAGCACGUCUGGUAGCAUCUCUGGCUGCUGUUGAUCUUGUUUUUGGAGUAAAACACGGUGGAAGCUGAAUUAGUGAGGAUGACUCCUGCUCCUGUCAUCUCUAAGCUCCUCACACAUCUUUACCUACACAUGAGGAAAAUCACUCCUGUAGAAUGCAGAUGUUCAGAGGGAGAUGAUGCCACAUCUGGUCCAGCUGAUGGAAGGUCUUGAAGUUCUCUGACUGGCCUCGACUGAAGAUGGUCGUCUCACUGGAUUUAAGGUUCAGAUGCUCAGUAACAAACUUCACCAAUGUGCCAACAGGGAAGCUUUAGGUUUAUUAAAUGUUGCUAUGAAGGUAUCGCUGUUUUUCUUUGUGAAUGCAAUGUGCUGCAACUGAAACUUGAAUUAGAACUUAGAAGUAAAUCCUAUCUGAAAGGAUUUAGUUGCAUUAAUAACCUCAUGAGAUUCUAAUUUUUAUUCCAGUCUUGAUUGGAAAUAGAAUCUCUGUAUUGAUUCAGGUAAAAACUGAACUUGACAGCAUGUUGGAGCAAAACAACCAGAUGAAAACUGUGAUGGUGUUGGAUUGUCAGACUGUAAUGUUGCAGCUCAAAGCAGCUUUUCUAUCUCAGUUCAUUCUGACAUUCAGCUAUGAAUCAACACAGCAGAUGGUGAUCCAUACUGUGGAAGUCUCACAUCUCCUGAUUUAAUGGAGCUCCUUUGCACUUUUUACACUGUUUAUUCAUCCAUCCAUCCAUUAUCUAUACACCGCUUAAUCCUCACUAGGGUCGCGGGGGGGGCUGGAGUCUAUCCCAGCUGACUCAGGUGAAGGCAGGGGACACCCUAGACAGGUCACCAGUCUGUCGCAGGGCCACAUACAAAGACAAACAGUCACUCUCACAUUCACACCUACGGGCAAUUUAGAAUGAUCAAUUAACCUCAGCAUAUUUUUGGACUGUGGGAGGAAGCCGGAGUACCCGGAGAAAACCCACGCAUGCACAGGGAGAACAUGCAAACUCCAUGCAGAAAGAUCCCGGGAAAGCCGGGAUGCGAACCAGGGAUCUUCUAGCUGCAAGGCGAAAGUGCUAACCACUACGCCACUGUGCAGCCCACUGUUUAUUCACCAACACUUUAUUUAAUAAAAGUCCCAUCUAGUUUUUAUGAGGAAUGUGAUGUUUUAAUUUCUCUGUGAAUAACUGCAGUCUUAUGUAACAGCUGGAGUUGUAACAUCUGUCCUGAUAUUGAUCAUGAAGUAUUGAUCAGAAUACUUAUGGUUAGCAGUAAUCCCUGAAGUUUUACAUUAAAAUCUUUACUUGUCUUGUGAACUUUGGUACGAAGCAGAAACUUUAGCAUUGCCAGGGAUAUACGAGUGUUCAAUUCAAUUCAAUUUUAUUUAUAUAGCACCAAUUACAGUCAAAUUGUCUCGAGAUGCUUUACAGAACCCAUAUGCCUGACCCCCAGAGCAAGCCAAAAGGCGACAGUGGCAAGGAAAACACCCUUUUAACAGGGAAAAAAACCUUGAGCAGAACCCGGCUCUUUAUGUGGGGGGACCCAUCUGCCUGCUGGCCGGGCGGGUUGAGAGGGACAGAAGAGGUAGAGAGGUAGAGGGUUAGAGGUGGAGGUAGAGAGGUAGAGGUAGAGGGGUGGGGGGGGACACAAGGACCAUAAAACACACAGUUUAAUACAUGUGUGAUAAGACAGAUGAUACAUGCAAAGUACAACUAACGUGGAAACUGAUUAUAGUUUACUGCUAUGGUGUACGGCUCUGGCAUUAAAUAUACUACAUAUAUAGCUGGUGGUAAAUUCAAAAAUAUGUAGAUGAGCAAAUCAAUUAUAGUGAGGGGCAAAUUCUGUCCAUGUUUCCAUUGUGGGAAAUUCAGUCCAGCACAUGAGUUUGUUUUUACUGCCAGCUCCCAUUCAGUCUGAGAUAUUAAGAAUAAAUAAAUGUGCAUAAUGUGGAAAUGAACAGAUUUUAUUUUUAUUUAUUCCUACAGCUGCUGCAGGGAAUGUUCUAGCAUGUGGAGGAAUUUAGUCUCACAAUCACAGACAAUAAAUAUUAUCUGAAAGUCGGGUUAUUAUUGUUUAUCAGCACAAUACAAAAAGAUUAAUGUUAGAAAUAUUCCAGUUAAGACUCUAGAAUAUCAUGAUUAAUUAAAUUUUCCUCAACAAUAUGAAUGUUCAGGUUAAGAUUGUGCAGUGAUAUUAUCUAAGUUUAGCUGAUUGAAGUUUAUGACUCUGCACUAAAAUAUUAUUUAAAUUUACAUCAUUAUUAUAAUAUUUAGGGUCAGACCCUACAAUAUUGAGAUUAAGAAAUCAAAUAUUCUAUAAAAUGUAAAUACACUGAACUCAUAUGGAUAUAUUUAAGUGAGACUCUACAAUAUUAUUUGACACAAAUAUAUGUAAAUCAAAAUUUUAAUCAUUUUUACUCCAAACAUUUACUGGACUGAUUUAAAUAUUAAAGUCACUCCUUUCUAAUCCUCUGCUGUACAUUCAAACCUGAGGCCUGAAAUAGAAACACACAAGUAUCUGAUUGAAGGAACUUCUGCAGAGUCCUGGUUCCAGAACAUGAUGAUAGAAUUAUAGACAAACUUUAACAAAAGCUGCCUGAGAGUUUACAGGUUUUUAUGUUAGAUUUCUUCAGUAAUUUAAUGAGAGUUAUCAGAAAAAUCAAAAAUCAAGUGUUCAUUUGAUGAACUUCAUUUCCUAAAACAUCCAGAACUGGAGCUCAUAUCUUUGACAGCUGUAAAGUUUCUGCUCCUUCAAAGAUCACAAUGAACAACAAUGAAUGAAUUCUUAAAACACUCUGAAUGCUGGAGAGCGUUUGUGAUGCUGAAGUAGUGAGCAGUUUUUCUGUUUCUUCUCUGGAGAUGCACAAUGAGGGACGUCUGCAGCGACUGAGAAAGAGUCUCACCACAGCCUGACAUGAGGAAAAAGACUUUAUUGAAGACUACAAUGAGAAAAACUAUCAGACAGCAG